AUUGAACGCUGGCGGCAUGCCUUACACAUGCAAGUCGAACGGCAGCACGGGUGCUUGCACCUGGUGGCGAGUGGCGAACGGGUGAGUAAUACAUCGGAACAUGUCCUGUAGUGGGGGAUAGCCCGGCGAAAGCCGGAUUAAUACCGCAUACGAUCUACGGAUGAAAGCGGGGGACCUUCGGGCCUCGCGCUAUAGGGUUGGCCGAUGGCUGAUUAGCUAGUUGGUGGGGUAAAGGCCUACCAAGGCGACGAUCAGCAGCUGGUCUGAGAGGACGACCAGCCACACUGGGACUGAGACACGGCCCAGACUCCUACGGGAGGCAGCAGUGGGGAAUUUUGGACAAUGGGCGAAAGCCUGAUCCAGCAAUGCCGCGUGUGUGAAGAAGGCCUUCGGGUUGUAAAGCACUUUUGUCCGGAAAGAAAUCCUUGGCCCUAAUACGGUCGGGGGAUGACGGUACCGGAAGAAUAAGCACCGGCGAACUAC
rnacentral:rRNA from 1 species